CCAUUGGAUUAGGACGGAGUCGCCCGAUUUGGAGAGGGAGGUUGGGGAGAGAGAGAGUGAAACAGUUUGGUGGGUCGGAGGGAAGAAGGUGAAGAGGAGGAGGAUGAAAACGAAGGUUGUUGAAGGAACGGCCAUGGCGAUGGCGUAUGAGGUGACUGAUGAGCAAUGGGUUUGGAUUGGUAAAUAUCUAUCAAAAUAACAUUUAUUUAAUACUCAGGCAUAUUCCUAAUGGUUCUGCGGCAUCAAAAUCUAUUUAGUCACUGUUCAAUAUUAAUUAAUAUUAAUCAAUUAAUUAAUACUGCCAUUGUGUGUGUCAGAGCCAGCUCUGUGAGUAAAUUAUUAGUAGGUGAAUUAUUGUUUUUUCUUAAUUUUUUAAAUGUCCAACCACUUAGUACUACAACCUGGUAGUAUUCAUUUUUACUUGUAAGUAAGAGGUCUUAAAUUCAAUUCUUGCCAAAUACGAGUUUGAAUCACAUUAUUACUAGCUCAUUGUGAGGUUAAAUCUACCCCUUCUCCUUAGUGUAAAUAACAUCGUUCAUUCAAAAAAAAUAAAAUUACUUAAAGGUCCAAGGUUAAAAUUUUUAUUUUAGUUUUGUGGAAUUUUUUUAUUAGUUUGAAUCACACUAUUGUUAACUCACUAUAAGGCUAAGCCCCCCCUUUCCCUUUAGCGUAAAUAAUAUCGUUCGUUAAAAAAAAAAAUUACUUAAAGGUCCAGGGUUAAAAUUUUUAUUUUAGUUUUGUGGAAUUUUUAUAUUAUUUUGGUGAAAGUUAUGUAUUUAAUAAUAACAAAGUAAAACAUGAUGGAGGUAGAGCCUCAAACCCAUUCCCAAACGAUUACAGAGAAGCAUAAGCACCACUUGUGCUAACAGUUGAUUUUAUAAUUUUUUUCACAUAUAUUGGUAUAUAUACGUACAUUCAUGUAAAAUUGAAAAAUCGGGGCCCUAUGCAGUGGCACCACUUGCACAUCCUCAGGGCCGGCCCUAAUGUGUGUAUAAAAAAAAUUAAAAUGAAAAAUAUAUAUGGGAGAAAGGAGUUGGGGGGGGAAAUGUGAAGUAGAUAGAUCGUGAAUGUUAUAAAUAGGUUAAAAUUAGAGAAAUAACAUUUGCUAGGGACAAGAACGCGGAUGCAAAAUAUCAUACUGUUUAGUUUCGUAACUAUAACACAAAAUGAUUACAGGUAAAGAGAGGAAGGAGAUACUGAUAUAAUUGCUUUCACUUUUUUUCUUUACUGUGUAUUGUGAUUACACACGGAGUGCUCUUUAUAUAGCUACAUCCGUGAAGGUUUACAAAAAUGAAAUGAUUGUUUUUUGAAAAACCUCACAUAUCAACAACAACAACACAACUAUUCUCAAGUCUUCCUCACUAUUAGCUAAAAAGCAUGUGGGCAUACAUUUCCACAAUUUUUACAACAAUGAAAGAUUUUUUAAUUUAAUUUUUAAUUUUUGGGAAAUAUAGAUAGAGACAUGCAUUGAUGGUAUGUGGAUGAGAAAAUUAAAAAAAAUCUUUUUGUGUAAAAUUACUUUAAUAUCUAUGAAUUUUCUUUUCUAAUAUUUAUCUCAAUGCAAUAGGGUGUAAUAGUAUUUUUGUUUGGUUCUUCUUCUCUCUUGAUUUUGUGAAUUGGGGAUUUACAAAUUUGGUGUCUAUGAUUGUAAUUUCAUUCUGCUAUUCUGCAAGAUCUAAUGAUGCGAUAUCAAGUUUGAUUCUUUAAGUUUUUUUUUUUUUGGUUACAAAUGGUAAAAUUAUUACCAACCGAAAACUUAUAACACAAAGAGCCACACUAAAACAUAAAGAAAAAAGGGCCAAACAAACUAAAGGGCCAAACAAACUACACACCAAGGUCCAAACCAUAUACAUAACGCAAAAAUGGACCUUACAAACUACACACAAAGGGCCAAAACAAAGGCUAAAGCCCAAAAACAAAGACACACCGAAAGAGAACCCUAGCCUUCUGCUACAACCGCCUCUAAGCACCGCACAAACAACAAGAACCAUGUACACCAACUUACUCCAGAAUUCUGACCAAUCAACACCUCAGAGGCUAAAGCCCAAAAACAAAGACACACCGAAAGAGAACCCUAGCCUUCUGCUACAACCGCCUCUGCAGCACCACACGAACAGCAGGAACCAUGUACACCAACUUACUCCAAAAUUCCGACCAAUCAACACCUCAGAGAUGGGAGGAAGGAAGACCCCAUGAUCCAUCAAUGAAACCCUUUCCGACGGCAGCCACCAAGGAGAAGAAAACAAAGAGGCCUGUGAGAAUCCCACAAGCAACACUGCUAAUAAAGGCAGACCGAGAGAAUGAGCUGGUGUGGACACCUAAGUCGAUAUGCAAACCGGAGCUCGACACACCUUCUCGUUGUACCAUGAUAGAUCACGGUCAAAAGUAACUGCAUACCAAAUUUGGGUAUAAAUUGAUGAAGGAUGGAGCCAAAUCGAAAAUAAAGAAGAUCGGAUUUGUGGGGGAUGGAUGAAGGGUAGGAAGAUGGGGGGAUGGAUUGGAUGGAUAUGAGGAAUUAAUUGAGUAGGAAUAAUGGCAACAAGGACGCAUUAGGUCGCACUAACCAUGAUGAAUAGUAGGGGAAAAACAGUAACAGAAAAGAAGGGAGGGAAGAGCAAAAAGAAAAAGAAAAAGACUACCACCAACCCUAGCCAUAGCUAGCGUCGGCGCCCGAAUACAAAAACCAAUAACGGAAACCUCACAGGCAGUGAGAAAUACUUUCAGGGGAGAGAGUUAGGGGUGGUUUUG
rnacentral:lncRNA from 1 species